rnacentral:lncRNA from 1 species
CUAAGCUCAGUCCGCAACUACGUUACGUGUUCAAAGUGCUGUGAGGCACAGGUCAUUGAACCUUGCCAAAAGGUAUGAUAUUAUUGAAAAUUGUAACUUGGGGCCUAUUCUGUAACUUGUUUCCUUUAAGCUCUAGAAAGAAAACAGAAUUCAGGAGGAUUGGCCAACCGGCCUGUAAUUACCCCUUAUGCUGGGAGAGGCUGCUAACACCACUUGGCUUCAGAUUUGGGAGCGUAAGUGCGCAUCUGGAAGAAGAGGACUGUCCUAGCUGAGGAAGCAUGUGGUCUCUGUGACUUGGCAACUUGUAUGUCAUCAGUUACAGAGUGAAUUACCACAGGUACAGAACUUCUUGGAAACCUGCUGUGGAAUGGAUACAGCACAUCUUGACAGGAAAGGUGGUGUGAACACAUCAUGGCUUUGGUAUUUGAUGCUCUGGGCAAAGACUGCAAGACCAGGAAAAAUAAUCACCUGUAAGUAAUAUCUGCACUUAGUCACCAACCCUGGUAGUGUCUGUAUAGGCACGUACCACUGCUUACACUUAUGUAUUUUGCAAAUAAUUGAGCAAGGCAAUGAAUACAGCUAGUUUCAAUCAGAGAUUUUCGGUUGUAGUUGGAACUCUGAAGAACUGAACUUACUGAAACCGUAGUUGAGAUUGAACCUCAGAUUUUUUUUU